rnacentral:lncRNA from 1 species
CUUUUGACUUCAUGGCUUGGUUUGUGCUCUGACGUGCUCUGUCAGCUGUGGGAUCUUAUAUAGACAGGUGUGGCUUUCGAAAUCAUGUCCAAUCAGCUGAAUUUGCCACAGGUGGACUGCAAUCAAGCUGGAGGAACAUUUCAAGGCUGAUCAGUGGAAACAGGAUGCACCUGAGCUCAAUUUUGAGUUUUAUAGCAAAGGGUGUGAAUACUUAAGUAUAUGCAACAUUUGAGUGUCUUAUUUUUAAUAAAUUGGCAAAAUGAUCUAAAAAAAUAUUUUCACUUUGUCAAUAUGGGGUAUUUUGUGUAGAAUUUUUGAGGGAAAAAAGGAAUUUAAUCCAUUUUGGAAUGAGGCAAAGGUGGCAAGGUAACAUAACAAAAUGUGGAAAAAGUGAAGUGGUAUGAAUACUUCCUGGAUGCACUGUACAUUACACAUGACAUAAAAAUUACGACGACUUAUUUCAAGUUUUUUUCUUUAUCUAUGUACAUGUCAUCAGUUUCUAGGUCCCAAUUUUUCUUCUACCCCCAAAAAGUUUCAAAAUCGGUUGAAUACAGCGGCCUCAAAAGGUAAAUUGAAAUACACAUAAAAAGAAUUUCAAUUCAUUUGAAAAAAAAAAAAAAAAAAACAUUGGCACACUCAAAUCCUGCAGUUUUGUUGAAAAAGUAAUUUAUUCAAAAGUAUUAAAAAACAGAAUCAAAGUUACAUUUGAACAGAUUUUUUUCAUGCAUUCUGGGAUUUUUCAAAGUUCAAUUUCGAAAUUCAAGACUUUCAGGUACCAUUUUAUUUUUUCAGGUUCAAAUCUUAUUUUUCCACUUCACUUUUUAUUUUUUCACUUACACUACUUUUCAAUACUUUUGAGCCUAAUCUGGCUCCAUAUGUUUGAGCCGAGCGUCAUCACAGCAACUCUUGGCGGCUCUCCUGCUGAAUGCGUACAAUGCUACUGCGCAAUGCUGGUUUCAGGAAGUGAAGAAAAAUCAUGGAAAUGCUGAGAGCUUUACCGAGGCUGAAUACCGAUGUAUACUGGUGGAAGGUGGAACCAAGUUGUUCAUAGUAUGUACAGUCUAUGCAUGCCACUUGUGAGAUGGUGUUAGUGGACGGGGGUGUCUGUUUCUUGACUGCAUAAAGGAUGUGUAAAAUACUGAAUUCCUCAGUCAGAGGAAGCUGCCUUUGUUGUUAUCCCUCUCGGGGUCACGGGUGGGCUGGAGCCUAUCCCAGCUCAGAGCAGUGGAUUAAAACAGAGUGGCGACACUCCCGUAGACAUACGCUGUACAGCCCGGCGGACCCCACUUCCGGGUUAUGGAACUCUUAAUAGUUCCAACAUGACCGCCUGUCACGUCGGACGCCGUUCGCUUCUAUGGCCACAAGGCAAGCACUCACCGAGGUUAAAUGAUAAAAUAAAAGUUUAAUGCCAAUACAUGUGUUAUUGAUAUCGAGGGGACCCCUUUAUAUGUAAAAAUGUAUAUCCCAAAUGUAAUUACGUUUUUUUAGUCAGGAAUUGGGAUCGAUUUUUUAGCCACGGUUUGCUCCCACACUCCCCGAGGUAAAAUAUUGUAUCAACGAAUGUAAUGCCAAUACCUGUGUAAAUGGUAUUGAGGGACCCCUUUAUAUGUAAAAUGAUUUUAAUUCUAGUAUGCUCAAAUUGUAAUUACAAAUGUAAUUACGUUUUUUUAGUAAAGAAUUUGGAUCGAUUUUUUAGCCACGGCCUGCUAGCUGGACGUCGUCAGCUGUAGAGGCCUGCCAAAAUUUAUUGUGUGACUGAGUUAUGAAUCACAGAUAAAUCAUCAUCAUCAAUCAUAUGUUGAGAUGGUUACUUGUGGGCUUUAUUUUAGAUUUCAGCCUUUAUCAGUUCCCGAUGUUAUAUGCAAUUUAUCCUUUUUAGACUAACAUAAGUGCUAUGUAAUUUGAUUGCUGCUUAUGGGAUGAUAGAGUUAAGGGGCCGCUACUUUUUAAAUCCUGUCAGCAUUUAAGGCAUAUGUUUAACAUGGAAAAAUGUUAUGCAGGCCAUGCUGCAAGACCAAAACAUUGCACAAUUGUUUAAACAGUGUGUAACACCUGUUACUUACCACUUUAUUGUAUUAUUUUCGCUUAUUAAAAAGUAACACGUGUUACCAAACUUGUCUUAUUUCACUUUUAUUUGUCAUCCAGCCGCUAAAUAUACGUAAGUGACUUUGACGUGUACACAGUAAUCCAAUAAGAGUUGCAAAUGUUGACUUUUUACGGUUAAUUUUAAUAUUUACCUCUUAAAUGCGCGCUCAUUGCAGUCUGCCCCGUUGAAGAGCAUGGACAGUGCAGGCUGCGUUUGGAACUAUGGAGGGGUACAUGAACCACGUGACCGCUCCGGCGGCGAGAUCUGAAGUUGUCGCCACUCUGUUUAAUCCACUGCUCUGUCCCAGCUGUCAUCGGGCGAGAGGCAGGGUACACCCUGAAUCGGUCGCCAGUCAAUUGCAGGGCCACAUAGAGAAACAAACAACCAGUCAUACUCACACUCAUACCUAAGGAUAAUUUAGAGUCACCAAUUAACCUAAUGAGCAUGUUUUUGGUCUGUGGGAGGAAGCCAGAGUGCCCUGAGAGGACCCACGCAUGCACAGGAAGAACAUGAAAACUUCACCUGACUCGGGUAUUGAACUGGUGGUCCUCUUGGUGUGAACACAUGCACUACCUGCUGCGCCAAUGUGCCCUCAAGUAAAAUAUUUUGAAGACAAAGACCACAAUCUCUGCCGUUCUUCUCGGCUAGCUGAGAGUCAGAUGCAGUAUCAUUUUUCUGACAAUUUCUUUUCCCACUUCCUCAUCAGCAUGGCAACAGCCAGCUGAUGAUGUCAUGUCUGCUAAGUUUCCUUUUACUUCUGUUAAUGCUUAAGUUUACUUUAUUUUUGUACAUUUAUUUUUUGUUUAUGUCAUGCAUUUCCUGUUUUAUUUUGUAGUUCACUAACCCUUGUUUCUGUCUUCUAGCUUUGUUCCUGUCUGGUCUGCCCUACUGUUUCCCAUCCCACCUGUUUCCCAUCACCCUCAUUACCUCCUGUAAUUAACCUUGUGUGUCUUAUUGUCUUGUCGCCAGUUCGUCGUACCUUGUGUCUCAUUCCAGCUUUAUUCACAGGUAUAUUCAAGCCAUUGUUUACCUUUGCCUGUCUUUUUGGACCUUGCCUUUUUGCCUCACGUUUUGGAUACUUCUGCCUGAUCUGACUGCCUUUUUGUGUACCGACCUCUGCUUGUGCUUCAUAAAACACUCUCUGUUGGACAAAGUGAUUCGUUGUCUCGCCGUUGUGUCCUCCUUUCUGUGCCUCGUUUCAUGACAAAUGAUGACGAUAACAUAACACAGCUGUCUUGAGUUUGUAAUCUUGUCCAUUUUGUCUCUUUUUUGUUCAACUAAUUUUAUUUAAUCUAUAAUAUUGAUUUUCUCCCCAGCUGUAUCACCAGCUACCUUGAAAACUGUUUUAACAGCGCCAAAGUACACAUCUACACCAAGUAUAAAUACUAUGUUCAUUGAUUUCAAACCAAUUCCCUUAAGCCUGAUUCGUGAUUAGUUAAUAUGCAUGUCAAUCACUGACUGUCUAAGUAUUAUUGUCUACAAACAAAGUGAGAUAUUUUUUGUUUUCUAACGUAGGUCACCACAGCACACCGGGUGAAGCAGGAGAGGACAAAGUACACAAGUUAUUUGUUAACCCACCUAUACAGCAUAUAUUGAACGUGACUAAUGUUGCAAGUAUAAGAUUUCCAUGUGUUUUCUCUCCCUGCUUUGUUUACCUUUGCCUGUCAGUGUGACAGGCAGGACACAAGGUAUUUGUUGAUAAGUAUGGCAAUGUUCACAAUGGUGACACUGUAAGUACAUUAUUACAAUAUCCCCCAACCCCGACAGUGAGAACUAGCGGCAAAAAAACCUCAUGUCCACACCACAACCAGGACACCUAAAGGUACACAGUAAUUCAGUGUAGUGUUGGUCUGCUGUGGAAUAGGUUGUAAGUUACAAACGUGAUUUAUGCAAUUUAUUUCUCUCCCCCCUACACACAGAUUCACUACACACAGUCCCAUCCAUAGUCCUGUCAGGACCCCUUAGGGUAACAGUUUGAUUAGAGUAGUGAUCACAAUAGUGAGUGUGUAAGAAAGAAAAAAAAAAGAGGCAUUUAAUUGCCUUUUCCACCCCACAGCCAGUACUCCACUAGGUAAUAUUUGUACAGCGAUGAUCACAAGGGUGUGUACUAUUUCAUUAACUACAAAUAUGUGCACUCCAGUACAGAGAAUAUUUUUUAAAAAUUUUAUAUCAGAGAUAUGAAUCCAAAAGCUGUGAUAUAAAUAAUGGCAUUGUUUUUGCAGAUGUCAGCAGCUGGCUUUCCAAAAUAGCCAAGGCUAUUAUCAAAAAACUGAGAUCAAACAGUUAGUGUAAAUGACAAAGUUGAGAGAUUUUCAGAUGGCAUGGCAAAGAUGUUAUUUAGAUGGGAAAUUCCUUUUUUUUACCCAGUAGUGAACUGUGACUCCAGUGUGAGCUCAAGAAGCAGGACACCUACAAGUAGAUUUUUAUUUGCAAUGAUGUAAUUAGAAUUUGCAAUUUUCUUUCUUUUACACUCAACAGGGCAUUGAACUCGAAGGGGAAGCACUUCACAAGUUAAAUAUGUAUUGUGUAAUGAGUAUAACAGUGAUAACAGGUGACUUGCUAAGUAAGAUGUGUAUGUUCUUUUUUUCCCUCCCCAACAGAGACUCCUAGCCCUCAGAGUAAAAGAAAGACCAUCCGUCUCAAAAACUGUCUGGACUCCACAAGUUACAGAUCGACUCUAGAAUUAACCUUGAUUAUAGAAGUAAUCACGACUACCUUGUGUUAUCUUUGCAUAUUGAUAUUUUAUUAAUUGUUUGAAUAUACUUAUGUUUGCUUAACUCAAGCUCCUGUCAAUUAAGAGCAUAUGUGAAAUGCCUAUAUUGUAUUUGCGAUUUUCAAUAGUGAUGUUGCAUUUAUGACAUAUAAUUGCCUUGUCUUUUACUCUCAGGAAACCGGGGCAGAAGUCAAAGGCCAAAAAAGAAAAAAAAAAAAAAAACAUGCACUCCUAGUACAUUUUCAUUUUUCAGGAUGACAUGCAGAACAACUAUUUUAUUUAUAAACAGAACUAUUUUAAAAUAUAAAAAAUGAAAUGUUAUUUAUGGAUAUGUAAAACAACCAAAUUUAAGUAAAACAUAUCCCAAAGCACAGGCAGAAUGCCACAUACUUUUUUUUUUUUUUUUUUUUUUUGCAUUUUGGUUCAGGUUGAUGCAUCCUAGGCAGGUAGGGUUUCUGGAUCUUUUUUUUUUUUUUUUUUUUUUUUUUUUCAAAAAAUGUGUAAUGUUUUAAAUACAAAUAACUAGAUUUUUAAUUAUUUUUGUAAUUUUAUAUGUUAGACUUUGUGCUGGUUUUUAACCUUAAGUUUAAUAGAAUAACCCAAAGUUUAUUUUAUUUUGGUAAUAUUUUAUAUUUGAAUUUGUGCUUUUAUUUUAUUGCAAUGUAUGUUUAAAAAUGUGUUUAGAAAUUAAAAAUGUGUUGUUUGCACAUUCAUAUGUGAUGGUUGGAUAAUGUUUGAAUACUGUAUUGAUUUAGAUUACACUAGCAUAGUUUGGUUAAUGUUAACAUCAAGAGAUAUACUUAUAUCCAGUGGUAAAAUUAGCAUGACAUUAGUGUUACUGAAACCUAUUUAAAAGAAUAAAAAUAAAAAUAAAAAGAUUAUGAUGAUUAUUACUUCAAUAAUCGCUUGUUUGUGGGGGAGCCCUGACAAGUCCAUCAAGUCCAUCACCGAGUGCAGGGUCAUUUCCUUUAAGUAAUUAUCAUCAUAAUAAUUAUUUUGCACUGCAGACACUGUAGUUCUUCUGCCUUAGCGUCUCGGUCUGAUUGCAUUUCCAUUAAGUAAUAUUUAUAAAUGUUCUUCCUUGAGCAACAAAACUCAGCUGCACUUCAAGGAAAUGACCCGCUGCACUCAGUGAUCGACUUGUCAGGGCUCCCCCCCCCCCCCCCCACAAACAAGCGGCUGCUGGAAGAAAGUGGGUGAGUUUCGUUUGGUCUCUUUGCUAAAGAAACAGGCAAAGCUAAAAAGAUGUUUGGUGGCUAGUACUAUGUUUGGGUCCCUGUAUGUACUGUUUAUUAAGUUAGGUGCUGUUCUGAGCAUUAUUUGUGGCUAUAGAGCAGCUUUUUGGUUGAGGUGUGCGCAUGGAGUGAUAGACCACUGUGUAUUGCUUUAGUGCAGUCUUUACUAAAGUUGGUAUAACUAGAGAAGCAAGCGGUCGGCAACAUUCAUCUCUGGAGGAGGUGUCUAACUCGGUGUUACGGUGUGUUUGACCUUAACAUAAUUUUAUGACGGAAUAUUUCUUUAACAUUCAAUUUUGACAACUUAUAUUCCUUUUAAUAUAGGCUUGUUGUAAAUAAUUUUGAUAGAUUCCAAAGGCCGGAUAUAUUAGAAUAUC